AAUAUCUCGUAGAAAUUCCAUUCAUAGCUGAUACAAAAUUGAUCAAGAUUUGUAGAGUCCAAUAAGACAAACAGCUAUGAUCCACUACUUUAUCCUCUCAGUCUUCUUAAUUUUAUCAACGACAGAACUCGGCAAUUCCAUCAGAUUUAGCGAUGUCCCCAAUUAUAAAAGGUCAGCCAUUGGAGACCUCGUAAGGAUGAACGCCCUAGCUUUGUUGGACGAGAAAAUUGCUCAUGGACUCAAUGUUACUGACUAUGGAAGAUAGCUGCAACAAGCUUGUGUGAGAGUUUACGACGUUUAGAAGAGAGUUACUCCGAAGAAUUUUUAUAUUAACAUGAUGAAAUAAAAAUUGUUGAUCCCAA